rnacentral:rRNA from 1 species
AGUGAACGCUGGCGGUAGGCCUAACACAUGCAAGUCGAACGGCAGCACAGUAAGAGCUUGCUCUUACGGGUGGCGAGUGGCGGACGGGUGAGGAAUACAGCGGAAUCUACUUUUUCGUGGGGGAUAACGUAGGGAAACUUACGCUAAUACCGCAUACGACCUACGGGUGAAAGCAUGGGAUCUUCGGACCUUGCGCGAUUGAAUGAGCCGAUGUCGGAUUAGCUAGAUGGCGGGGUAAAGGCCCACCAAGGCGACGAUCCGUAGCUGGUCUGAGAGGAUGAUCAGCCACACUGGAACUGAGACACGGUACAGACUCCUACGGGAGGCAGCAGUGGGGAAUAUUGGACAAUGGGCGCAAGCCUGAUCCAGCCAUACCGCGUGGGUGAAGAAGGCCUUCGGGUUGUAAAGCCCUUUUGUUGGGAAAGAAAAGCAGCAGGUUAAUACCCCGCUGUUCUGACGGUACCCAAAGAAUAAGCACCGGCUAACUUCGUG